GAUGAACGCCGGCGGCGUGCCUAAUACAUGCAAGUCGAGCGAAUGGAUUAAGAGCUUGCUCUUAUGAAGUUAGCGGCGGACGGGUGAGUAACACGUGGGUAACCUGCCCAUAAGACUGGGAUAACUCCGGGAAACCGGGGCUAAUACCGGAUAACAUUUUGAACCGCCUGGUUCGAAAUUGAAAGGCGGCUUCGGCUGUCACUUAUGGAUGGACCCGCGUCGCAUUAGUUAGUUGGGGAGGUAACGGCUCACCAAGGCAACGCUGCGUAGCCGACCUGAGAGGGUGAUCGGCCACACUGGGACUGAGACACGGCCCAGACUCCUACGGGAGGCAGCAGUAGGGAAUCUUCCGCAAUAGACGAAAGUCUGACGGAGCAACGCCGCGUGAGUGAUGAAGGCUUUCGGGUCGUAAAACUCUGUUGUUAGGGAAGAACAAGUGCUAGUUGAAUAAGCUGGCACCUUGACGGUACCUAACCAGAAAGCCACGGCUAACUACGUGCCAGCCGCCGCUGUAA
rnacentral:rRNA from 1 species